rnacentral:rRNA from 1 species
UACGAAGGGGGCUAGCGUUGUUCGGAAUCACUGGGCGUAAAGCGCGCGCAGGCGGAUCGUUAAGUCAGGGGUGAAAUCCCGAGGCUCAACCUCGGAACUGGCUCUGAUACUGACGAUCUUUGAGUCCGGGAGAGGUGAGUGGAACUCCGAGUGUAGAGGUGAAAUUCGUAGAUAUUCGGAAGAACACCAGUGGCGAUGGCGGCUCACUGGCCCGGUACUGACGCUCAAGUGCGAAAGCGUGGGGAGCAAACAGG